GCGGAGGAAAAGAAACCAACAGGGAUUGCCUCAGUAACGGCGAGUGAAGCGGCAACAGCUCAAAUUUGAAAUCUGGCCCCCUCGGGGCCCGAGUUGUAAUUUGGAGAAGAUGCUUCGGGUGUGGCCCCGGUCUAAGUUCCUUGGAACAGGACGUCACAGAGGGUGAGAAUCCCGUACGUGCCCGGUGGCCGCGCCCGUGUGAAGCUCUUUCGACGAGUCGAGUUGUUUGGGAAUGCAGCUCAAAAUGGGUGGUAAAUUUCAUCUAAAGCUAAAUAUUGGCCAGAGACCGAUAGCGCACAAGUAGAGUGAUCGAAAGAUGAAAAGCACUUUGGAAAGAGAGUUAAACAGUACGUGAAAUUGUUGAAAGGGAAGCGCUUGCAACCAGACUUGCGCGCGGCCGAUGCUCGGUGUUGUUUGUCCAGCCAGGCAACCCGCGCCUGGCCUGCAUCGGUUUGGGUGGCUGGACAAAGGCCUCGGGAAUGUAGCCCCCCUCGGGGGGUGUUAUAGCCCGAGGCGCAAUGCAGCCUACCCGGACCGAGGACCGCGCUUCGGCUAGGAUGCUGGCGUAAUGGUUGUAAGCGGCCCGUCUUGAAACACGGACCAAGGAGUCUAACAUCUAUGCGAGUGUUUGGGUGUCAAACCCAUACGCGGAAUGAAAGUGAACGGAGGUGAGAGCCCUUAAGGGUGCAUCAUCGACCGAUCCUGAUGUCUUCGGAUGGAUUUGAGUAAGAGCAUAGCUGUUGGGACCCGAAAGAUGGUGAACUAUGCCUGAAUAGGGUGAAKCCAGAGGAAACUCUGGUGGAGGCUCGCAGCGGUUCUGACGUGCAAAUCGAUCGUCAAAUUUGGGCAUAGGGGCGAA
rnacentral:misc_RNA from 1 species